UCCCUGGUAGUAUAUCGGUUAGUACAUGCGCCUGUCAUUGUCCAGACAUGCAACGCGCGAAAGCUGGGUUCGACUCCCAGCCAGGGAG